AUGGUGAACGCCAGAAUGGAGCCUUCUGGAUCCUCCAGUCCUUCGGACCUAAUAGACUUUCUGACUGAUUUAGGAAUAAGAGACGUGACCUGUGAAACUGGAGACAGCUUAGGAGGGGCGGGUGGCCUGCUGACACCUUCAGAAACCCCCCAGACUGAAACCAUGACUCCCCUUCCAUUCUUGGGCCUGGAAGACAUAGACCUCCUCCAGGGUAGCUUGGAGGGCGUUGGCUGGAGCAGAGGUGAAACGGCCUCCGAGAAACCUUCUCCGCCGCUGGCUCAGAGCCGUGCUGAGGAAUUCCACCCUGGAACUUGCCCUUCUUCAGAGCACCUGGAGAUUGUGCAGCCUAGGAGGGAAACAUCUCAGCAGCCGCCGGAAAAUCCAAAGAGCCUGGACAACAGCAGCCAUGAUGCCACCAAGGCUCUCUUCUCAGCCAGCAUCCUCCAAGCUGAGCUAUGCUUCCUGGACCUGCAAGGGGCGAUUGACCGGCAGACGGAGCCACUGAGGAGUUCCUCCCCUAGCCUUGAGAAGGUUCUGGGGACGCCCACCUCGCAGGACUUGGCCACCUCCCAUGAGCCUUUGCUCCUGGAGAGCGAUAGUGGGGAGGAGCCGGAGGAGGACUCAGAGAGGCAGGAGGAUGAUGAUGAUGAAGGCUCACUGGAGGAGGAAGAGGAAGAAGAGGAGGAGGUGGAAUGCUUGUUUUACGACAACCCGCUCUUUUGCGCGAGUCCAAGAACCACCAGCUCCGAAGGACCAUCUCUCUUGGGUCGCAUGGAAGAAAAGGCCUUCAAGGAAGAUGGGGAAGGAAUCCCCACCUGCGGUCUGACCUCUAGGGAUUGUGACCACGGCCUGCCGUGCCAGACAGGUGUGGCAAUGAGCCUUGCGGCCACGGACUCUGAGCCUGCGCCUGAGCCAGAUCCUGGUGGUAACCCGUCCCCAGGCCCUUACCCAAGCUACGUGCCUCAUUACCGCUCCUUGUCUCCCCUGGUGAUCACGGAAGGGGAGCUGGAUAGUGCCUGCCCGGUGGAAGAGGAGGAGAGGGAGCUGCCUCCUUGCUUUGCUCCCUUGUCGGAUGCGUCAAAGGAGGUCCAAGGCUUCUUCCCAGACCAGCCGGACCACACACCCUCCAGCAGUGAUUUGGACCAGAUGACUCCCCCCGGUGAGUCAUAA
rnacentral:lncRNA from 1 species